rnacentral:rRNA from 1 species
GUGUCAGCCGCCGCGGUAAUACGGAGGGUGCAAGCGUUAUCCGGAUUUAUUGGGUUUAAAGGGUCCGUAGGCGGAUUAAUAAGUCAGUGGUGAAAUCCUAUCGCUUAACGAUAGAACUGCCAUUGAAACUGUUAGUCUUGAGUGAUGUUGAAGCGGCUGGAAUGUGUAGUGUAGCGGUGAAAUGCCUAGAUAUUACGCAGAACACCAAUUGCGAAGGCAGGUCACUAAGUAUCAACUGACGCUGAUGGACGAAAGCAUGGGGAGCAAACAGGAUUAGAUACCCCUGUAGUCC